rnacentral:rRNA from 1 species
AGAGUUUGAUCCUGGCUCAGGAUGAACGCUAGCGACAGGCUUAACACAUGCAAGUCGAGGGGCAUCAUGAGGUAGCAAUACCUUGAUGGCGACCGGCGCACGGGUGAGUAACGCGUAUGCAACCUGCCUGAUACCGGGGUAUAGCCCAUGGAAACGUGGAUUAACACCCCAUAGUACUUUUAUCCUGCAUGGGAUGUGAGUUAAAUGUUUAAGGUAUCGGAUGGGCAUGCGUCCUAUUAGUUAGUUGGCGGGGUAACAGCCCACCAAGACGAUGAUAGGUAGGGGUUCUGAGAGGAAGGUCCCCCACAUCGGAACUGAGACACGGUCCAAACUCCUACGGGAGGCAGCAGUGUGGAAUAUUGGUCAAUGGACGCGAGUCUGAACCAGCCAAGUAGCGUGAAGGAUGACUGCCCUAUGGGUUGUAAACUUCUUUUAUAUGGGAAUAAAGUGGUCCACGUGUGGACUUUUGUAUGUACCAUAUGAAUAAGGAUCGGCUAACUCCGUGCCAGCAGCCGCGGUAAUACGGAGGAUCCGAGCGUUAUCCGGAUUUAUUGGGUUUAAAGGGAGCGUAGGCGGAUUGUUAAGUCAGUUGUGAAAGUUUGCGGCUCAACCGUAAAAUUGCAGUUGAUACUGGCAGUCUUGAGUGCAGUAGAGGUGGGCGGAAUUCGUGGUGUAGCGGUGAAAUGCUUAGAUAUCACGAAGAACUCCGAUUGCGAAGGCAGCUCACUGGAGUGUAACUGACGCUGAUGCUCGAAAGUGUGGGUAUCAAACAGGAUUAGAUACCCUGGUAGUCCACACAGUAAACGGUGAAUACUCGCUGUUUGCGAUAUACAGUAAGCGGCCAAGCGAAAGCAUUAAGUAUUCCACCUGGGGAGUACGCCGGCAACGGUGAAACUCAAAGGAAUUGACGGGGGCCCGCACAAGCGGAGGAACAUGUGGUUUAAUUCGAUGAUACGCGAGGAACCUUACCCGGGCUUAAAUUGCAAAUGAAUUAUGGGGAAACCCAUACGCCGCAAGGCAUUUGUGAAGGUGCUGCAUGGUUGUCGUCAGCUCGUGCCGUGAGGUGUCGGCUUAAGUGCCAUAACGAGCGCAACCCUUAUCUUCAGUUACUAACAGGUCAUGCUGAGGACUCUGGAGAGACUGCCGUCGUAAGAUGUGAGGAAGGUGGGGAUGACGUCAAAUCAGCACGGCCCUUACGUCCGGGGCUACACACGUGUUACAAUGGGGGGUACAGAAGGCCGCUACCUGGUGACAGGAUGCCAAUCCCAAAAACCUCUCUCAGUUCGGAUCGAAGUCUGCAACCCGACUUCGUGAAGCUGGAUUCGCUAGUAAUCGCGCAUCAGCCAUGGCGCGGUGAAUACGUUCCCGGGCCUUGCACACACCGCCCGUCAAG